rnacentral:rRNA from 1 species
UAGGGAAUAUUGGACAAUGGGCGCAAGCCUGAUCCAGCCAUGCCGCGUGAGUGAUGAAGGCCUUAGGGUUGUAAAGCUCUUUCACCGGGGAAGAUAAUGACGGUACCCGGAGAAGAAGCCCCGGCUAACUCCGUGCCAGCAGCCGCGGUAAUACGGAGGGGGCUAGCGUUGUUCGGAAUUACUGGGCGUAAAGCGCGCGUAGGCGGUUCGGCAAGUUAGAUGUGAAAGCCCGGGGCUCAACCCCGGAAUUGCAUUUAAAACUGCUGGGCUAGAGGCCGAGAGAGGUGAGUGGAAUUCCCAGUGUAGAGGUGAAAUUCGUAGAUAUUGGGAAGAACACCAGUGGCGAAGGCGGCUCACUGGCUCGGUUCUGACGCUGAGGUGCGAAAGCGUGGGGAGCAAACAGGAUUAGAUACCCCCGUAGUCC